UUAACAGAUGAGGAAACUGAGGCAAACAGACUUAAGUGACUUGCCCAGACUCACACGACUAGUGAUGGCUACAUGAAGCUCUAGCCUCCUGUUUUGGGGGAGCAGUCGAAUGUUCUUGGAAUGCUCCUGAAAAGCAGAUCCUCGGUACAUCUAAUGUAUUCCAUGCAGAGAUUUUAAAAGCUUUCACUGACUCUUCAGAAUAAUGCAGUUGGCUGCUUUACACGCUGCAGGAAUUCUAGGUCAUUUAAAGAAUGAUUGGAGAACUUCCACCUUCCAACUUUCCAGUGUGAAUUGAUCCUUAGAGUGCCAACUUGGAGCUGGCGCCCUUUCUCAGUGGGAAAAUCACAGCAGAGAGAGAAGAGUGGCAGCAUGGUACAGCGGAAAAAAUGCUGGACAUGGAGUAAUAGGACUUGGGUUCGAUUCUCACCUCUGCCACUUUCUUAUCGACCAGCUGCGUGGAUCUUUUUAACCUCCAGAGAUCUUUAUUUAACGUUUUUUUAAAUAAAAAAAAUUAAAUAAAAAGUGGGGCGUGAGACUACAG